GGCAAUCGUACGGGCCCCGGGGGAGGACUGGUUUACACGCUCUAGUGUCCUGUGCCAACAUAAACCUCCUCUCAGCCAUGGGGCCACUUUAUCCCCACCAGCUUGUGGACAGGGCUAGGAAAGGCAGGAACAGACACGGCGCCUCGCUCUGCAGGGAGAGCUCCCGGAAGUGACGGGCUGGACUUUGGCUGACACAGACCAGCCAUCCUAACCUGUGAGCUCUAAAACUGAUGAGGGCAGCCCCAGGGCCCAGCACCCCUUCAGCCACGCCAUUGGCUGAUGGCUCCAGUGGAGGCCAAAGGGUCGCCUGAGUGGCAGCUACAAGCUCUGGUCACUUCCCAGCCCCAUGCCCUUACUAACCCCUGCCAUCUCCACUUGGCGGAUGACAAACAUCUGUAGGUCAGGCAUCAUGAACGGGGCACUCAGCAUGUUGCCCCAGAACUGGAGAAGCCAUGCUGUGGAGGCAAUCUAUCACGCUGUCAGAGACUGGGACUUGAUUUGGUACCAACUGCUGUGCAAUUCUGGAGAGCAGGAAUAUCCUGAGCAUAUUAAAUAAUGACGGACAUAUUGGUUGAAACAAAGUUUCCAGUAAGGAAGUGCAAUGUGGAUAAUCAUGGCAAUAAAAUAGGAAGAGCUUUAGUUCCCAGCCCGAACCUGCCUCGGCUGGAGCCAUUUCAACAAGGCGUCCUCACAACAAAGAAGAGAUGCGAUUGGUACCAUUUCCCAUCAUCAGGUGUCUGGACAAAACAUUAAUGUGAAUAAGGGCCAAGCGCGGUCCUGUGUAUCUUGAUUAAAUUACGCACUAUUAAAUAAAAGGUCUAGAUGAUAUUGUUUUAAA